GUGUCAGCCGCCGCGGUAAGACAGAGGUUGCAAACGUUGUUCGGAAUCACUGGGCAUAAAGCGCACGUAGGCGGUCUGUUAAGUCAGGUGUGAAAGCCCCCGGCUCAACCGGGGAAUUGCAUUUGAUACUGGCAGGCUCGAGAACGGUAGGGGUGAGUGGAACUCCAGGUGGAGCGGUGAAAUGCGUAGAUAUCUGGAGGAACACCGGUGGCGAAAGCGGCUCACUGGACCGUCACUGACGCUGAGGUGCGAAAGCUAGGGUAGCAAACGGGAUUAGAUACCCCAGUAGUCC
rnacentral:rRNA from 1 species